ensembl:rRNA 5S_rRNA 5S ribosomal RNA
GUUUAUAGCCAUGCUACCCUGAACAAGCCCAAACCCAUCUGAUCUGAGAAGCUAAGAAGGGUCGGGCCUGGUUAGGUAGGACUUGGAUGGGAGACUACCUAGAACGACCGGGUGAUGUAGGCA